rnacentral:ncRNA from 1 species
GGGGCCCAGUGCCCCGGUCCCGCUCCGGUACCUGAUACGGCCGGAGUCAG